UACGAAGGGGGCUAGCGUUGCUCGGAAUUACUGGGCGUAAAGCGCACGUAGGCGGACUCUUAAGUCGGGGGUGAAAUCCUGGAGCUCAACUCCAGAACUGCCUUCGAUACUGAGAGCCUUGGGUUCGGGAGAGGUGAGUGGAACUGCGAGUGUAGAGGUGAAAUUCGUAGAUAUUCGCAAGAACACCAGUGGCGAAGGCGGCUCACUGGCCCGAUACUGACGCUGAGGUGCGAAAGCGUGGGGAGCAAACAGG
rnacentral:rRNA from 1 species